rnacentral:rRNA from 1 species
AAUAUUGGACAAUGGGCGAAAGCCUGAUCCAGCCAUGCCGCGUGUGUGAAGAAGGUCUUCGGAUUGUAAAGCACUUUAAGUUGGGAGGAAGGGCAGUAAGUUAAUACCUUGCUGUUAUGACGUUACCGACAGAAUAAGCACCGGCUAACCUCGCGCCAGCAGCCGCGGUAAUACGAAGGGGGCAAGCGUUAGUCGGAAUUACUGGGCGUAAAACGCGCGUAGGUGGUUUGUUAAGUUGGAAGUGAAAGCCCCGGGCUCAACCUGGGAGCUGCUUUCAAAACUGGCAGGCUAGAGUAUGGCAGAGGGUGGUGGAAUUUCCUGUGUAGCGGUGAAAUGCGUAGAUAUAGGAAGGAACACCAGUGGCGAAGGCGACCACCUGGGCUAAUACUGACACUGAGGUGCGAAAGCGUGGGGAGCAAACA